UAUAUAAACUAUUAUUAUUUACAAUUAAUUUCAUACAUAUAUACAGGACAAUUUAAAACUAUUGUAUAAAACUAAGAUGAGAUUAAGGAUGUCAUUAAGACAAGUGAAAAUAUUCUAGUGAAUUAGCAAAUAUUUGAGAAGUUUCUGUUGUUUACAAAAAUGGACAAAAUCCUAGUAGUUCAGUUGCAUCUGAAGAAUUCCUUGAAAAUUCACUCUAUAUAUACCGUGAGUUUUUCUUGAAACCGAACACUCAGAUUUUUGGCAUCGAGCCAAUUCUGAUGGAUCUAUCAUGUCAGGAAUCACUUGCUACGAAAAUUUAUUUUAUAUUUUUAAUUCCAAUGGCCAUGCAUUUGAACAUAUUGGCUGUUUUGAACAGAUUCAAAUCGGUGAACGUUUUCAGAGAUUAUGCCGGUGCAAAGAGUCGGAACACCUCGGAAGACCGGGUGAUGGCCAUAAGCGGCCGAGGAAGCAGUUUUGGACCUGCAGUCAAGAGGAUAAGUUCCAUCGAUUACCGGUGCAUUCAACGAUAUUUAUUUUUUAAGUUCUUUUAGUUUCUUAACUGUAAUUAAAAAAUUCUCUUUUAUAACUUUUUGGUCUAUCUUUAUUUACAGACUAUUUUACAUUGAAGUAUGACUUUAUUGCACG
rnacentral:lncRNA from 1 species